AUGAGUCGAGCGGAUGAGAAGAGCUUGCUCUUCAUUCAGCGGCGGACGGGUGAGUAAUACCUAGGAAUCUGCCUGGUAGUGGGGGACAACGUUUCGAAAGGAACGCUAAUACCGCAUACGUCCUACGGGAGAAAGCAGGGGACCUUCGGGCCUUGCGCUAUCAGAUGAGCCUAGGUCGGAUUAGCUAGUUGGUGAGGUAAUGGCUCACCAAGGCGACGAUCCGUAACUGGUCUGAGAGGAUGAUCAGUCACACUGGAACUGAGACACGGUCCAGACUCCUACGGGAGGCAGCAGUGGGGAAUAUUGGACAAUGGGCGAAAGCCUGAUCCAGCCAUGCCGCGUGUGUGAAGAAGGUCUUCGGAUUGUAAAGCACUUUAAGUUGGGAGGAAGGGUACUUACCUAAUACGUGAGUAUUUUGACGUUACCGACAGAAUAAGCACCGGCUAACUCUGUGCCAGCAGCCGCGGUAAUACAGAGGGUGCAAGCGUUAAUCGGAAUUACUGGGCGUAAAGCGCGCGUAGGUGGUUCGUUAAGUUGGAUGUGAAAUCCCCGGGCUCAACCUGGGAACUGCAUCCAAAACUGGCGAGCUAGAGUAGGGCAGAGGGUGGUGGAAUUUCCUGUGUAGCGGUGAAAUGCGUAGAUAUAGGAAGGAACACCAGUGGCGAAGGCGACCACCUGGGCUCAUACUGACACUGAGUGCGAAAGCGUGGGGAGCAAACAGGAUUAGAUACCCUGGUAGUCCACGCCGUAAACGAUGUCACUAGCCGUUGGAAUCCUUGAGAUUUUAGUGGCGCAGCUAACGCAUUAAGUUGACCGCCUGGGGAGUACGGCGCAGUUAAAACUCAAAUGAAUUGACGGGGCCCGCACAAGCGGUGGACAUGUGGUUUAAUUCACAACGCAAAACUUACCGCCUUGACAUGCAGAAACUUUCAAGGAUGGGCUUGAUCUGACUGCAGGCGUCGCUGCGGGAUCCUCGCUGGCCAGA
rnacentral:rRNA from 1 species